GAAGAAAUUAGUCAACGUGCUGGAUGCUGUUUUCAAGCCUGACGUUCGCUGAUCCAGAGCAGACAUGCAGCCAUUGUUGGUGAUUAAAGAAGAAAUUCUUCCUGAACACCAGGAAGGUAAUCUGAGGGUUGACCAGGAGGACAU